UCCGGGGGGAGCAAGCGUUGUCCGGAUUCAUUGGGCGUAAAGAGCUCGUAGGCGGCCACUCAAGUCGAAUGUGAAACCUCGAGGCUUAACCUCGAGCCUGCAUUCGAUACUGGGCGGCUAGAGUCUGGUAGGGGGAUCUGGAAUUCCUGGUGUAGCGGUGGAAUGCGCAGAUAUCGAGAGGAACACCUGCGGCGAAGGCGGGUUGCUGGGCCGACACUGACGCUGAUGCGCGAAAGCCAGGGGAGCGAACGGG
rnacentral:rRNA from 1 species